rnacentral:lncRNA from 1 species
UUCAAAGAAUAUUCAAAAAAAUUUCAAGACCAAAUAUUGAAAAAUGAGUCAACGGUGGCAAAUUUUUACAGACACCUCCAAAAAAGGAUUUUGCAGUAGACAGUAACAAAAAAUUCAAAAAUAUUUUAUUACCUUAUGAGUUUAUUGAGGUAACGCUAUCGUUUUUUUAAAAUUAUUUUUGAGUUUUUGAUAUCACUUCUUUUUUGUAAAAAAAGGGCGCAAAACAAACUUAUUUAUUAUUGUUAAAGAAAAAAUAUCUCGACAGCAUUACCUCACGUCUAAGAAAAUCUAUAAAAAAUUUCAGGUGGAUCUAUCAAAAGGCUUUCGAGUUGUAAUGUCCACCGCCUUUGAAAAAGAGGUUUUGAGAAAAACGCGUUUAAAGUUUUGACAACUUUUAUUUUCAAUUUCUUUUUUGUCUGUCAAAUCGUAAAGUGAUGAACACCUAAAUAUGUUUUUGAAUCGUUUUGUAUGUUUUUAUUUUUAUAACGAUUUCCAAAAUGGAAAUCGAAACGCCAAAAAUUUAAUUUUAAACUUAAAUCGUGGUUUAUUUUCUGGUUGAAUGUAAACUGGUACCAAAUCAAUUUGAACUAAAAAAUGAUUUCUUAGUAGUGGUAAUGAAAAAUAUAUCUUCAAAAUCUUUAAAACAAUUUUCAAAUUCCGUCAGCAAAUUACAAAGUAUUCAUAAAUUUUAAACUUAUUUUAUGGUACAUUAUUUAAUAAUUUUAAUGAGGGAAAUAAUUGAACGAAUUCUUGCUUUUUUGUAUGAUCAAUGAAUAGUUUGAGUUUCAUUUUAAAAGUGUCAUUUUGCGUUCAAAACUUAUAAACUUAGCAAAUUUGUCGCUGUUUUUCAUUUCUAAAAAUAAAGCAAUUUCCUCCCCUAAUUGACAGCAUAUUUUAAGAACCUUUUCUAAACUUAACCAUUGAAUAUGAUUGUGGUAUAAGACAUCAGUAUGUUCUGUUUCUACAACUCUUCCAAAAAUGCUAUGAAUGCACGAUGAUUUAUUCCUCUUGAACUAAUUAAACCAAAAAUAUUAGUAAUAAUUAAAAUGACGAUGUCUACUUGCAAAACGUAGUUGCACAAAACCUGCUGAUGGAUUAUGCAGUGACAAAAUAAUAAAUCAUGUUCUGGAGAUUGUUCAUGAACGUAAUCUUUAAGUUUACAAUAUUUGCUCCUCUUUUUGGUGCUCCAUCAGGUGUUACACUUACUAGGUGGUUACGAGUUAGUUUAAAAAUUUCCAAACAGUUUCUAACUACUUCAAGAAUAUCGUUUCCAUUUGUUGAAAUUUCAUGGAUUUCAUUGAGAGAGCUGACAAAACUGUGCCGGAAACCCAAAGAACUGACCGCGUUAUUUUGAAAAUUUGCGCAAAAAUCACCCGCUGCGAAAGUGUUAAUAGCUGUAUUAUCUAUAUUUAAUUAUUAAUAUAAGCAAUAAUUAAAAACAAUCUUUAAAUGAAAAUAAUUCACUUUUUUUUUGCGGGCCGCAAAAAAAUGUCUAAAGUGCCGCAUGCGGCCCACGGGCCGCACUUUGUCCACCCCUGCACUAGACCAUAUUCGCGAUUAAAACUGAAUAUAGAGGGUAGGUCGAAUGCAGGAAAAUGGUCGAUAUAAAUGGUAUAAACAAACAUUCAAUUGAGAAAAAAAAAACAAUACCGAUUUGAUUUAAAAUAUUUUAAUGUACCCUAACAACACAAAACAUUCCAGGAAUGUACUACCAAAGUUCUAUCAAUAUUUGAAUGUCCUGGACAUUUAGGGAACAUUCGGUAAACAUCUGUUUAAAUUAUUCCUGGAAUGUUAAAAUAAGACAUUCUGUGAACAUACUACCAAUGUUCCUAUAUUUUAAGUUGCCAAAUAAUAAAUAUGUGUAUCAGAUAUAACAUUACUUAUAACAUACCAAACAAACUAAGUGACAUUUUAGGCCUACAGUGCAAUAUGUCAAAUGUAAAAACUUAAAGAGUUUCCUAAGUUCAAUUAACAUUUUAUACAAUAUAUAGGUAAACAUACAAAUGUAAUAAAAAUUAUUACAAAACCGAAGAGAGGCAUUUAUAUUUAUUUCUUUUGCGUUCAUUUUUUAUUUGUGCAUGGCGCUUAGAGAGGGCAUCACGAUGGCAUCACGUGACUAAAAACGACCAACGAACGACCUCACUUCGGCAAUCUUGGCAUCUUGGCCACCUUGCCCGGCGUUGUCGUGCGUGGCGUGAUCGUUGUUUGUUUUAUUUGUGCUUUUUAAGAAUAUUUUUUUUAAUUCGGAUACUUUUAAAGUAUUAUUAACAUAUUGCAUAAAAUGUGUCUGUCCUGUCCUCAACGCAGUUGGAGCAGCAAAUGUAGAUCUUCAGGAAUAAUGUUUCAAAGGUUGGUAUGCAAAUAUUAUGUAAACAAAGGCAUGCCCUGUAUUUCAGAAAAUAAAUUAAUACUGUUGGUUCUGGUUUUCUUUACGGGUAGACGGAUUACAGAUAUGAAAUUUAUACCAAUGAAUUCUGUUUCACUUACUGAUAAUUGGUCAUAUCCAUUUAUUAUUUUAAUAAUUGUGAAUAAGCCACAAACUACAAACUUCGCUUAUUCCUAACUAAAAUAGUAAAUAGAGAUAAUAACAAAAGGAUUAUUUGUAAAAUUAAAAUAAUUCUUCUGUUUGCUCUUUUGCUAAUGUAUGCGUUUAUAAACAGGAUGGUAGACCACACACUAUAAUAUGUAGUACCAACUAAUGAAUACAUAGAAUAUUAUAGUCGGUUCGCUAAACUCAGUCUCAGUACUACUGAGUCUCAGACACAACUGGCUAGUGAUUUUAGUAAAUAAUUUUGCCAAUUUCGUAAAAUUGGCAAAAAAAUAAUAACUAAAUAGUUAAUAAUUACUAAAUAGUUAGUAAUUUUGGCAAAAUUGGCCAAAAACAAAAAAUUACCUACUAAAAUCACUAGCCAGUUGUGUCUGAGUUUGGGGAACGACUAUACUAAUAAACAAUUUCUAAGCUGUUUUAUAAUAUUUUGUGAGUUCGUUAUCAUAUCUUUUAUUUAAAACUAAAAUUUGUUAAUAAUGCUUUUUUUUUUUAAGCCUUUUUUCUAUUCGAAAUGUCGAAUAAAGGCCUCUCCCAUUUCUCGCCAUUCAUCUCUGUUGUGUGUGAGGCGUUUCCACAUUGGUCCUGCGACUCUUCUGAUGUCAUCGCUCCAGCGCAUUUGAGGUCUUCCUCUUGGUCUCUUCGCUUCGUACGGUCGCCAGUUUCCAACUUCCUUGCUCCAUCUACCAUUUUCGAGACGUUCGUUGUGUCCAGCCCAUUUCCAUUUUAAUUUAGCCGCUUGUUCCACGGCAUCCCUUACUUUUGUUUUGUUUCGGGUUGCUUCGUUUGUUUGCCGAUCUAUUAGUGAGAUACCAAGCAUCUGUCGUUCCAUGGCUCUUUUGAGUUUUUCUAAUCUUGUCCAUGUUCAUUUUUGUGAAUGUCCAGGUUUGAGCUCCGUAAGUGAGAACGGGAAGGAUACAAGAAUCGAACACUUUGGUUCGAAGGUAUUGUGGUAUCUUUUUGUCUUUUAGUAUAUAUGAGAGUUUUCCGAAUGCAGCCCAUCCCAUUCUUACUCGUCUGCUUAUUUCGGUAGUUUGAUUUUCUUUGUUUACCUUGAUAUUCUGACCUAGAUAUAUAUAUUCUUUUACAUGUUCCACUUUUGUUCCUUGGAUGGUUAUCGUUGGUUGAUCAUCUUUGUUAGACAUUAGCUUAGUUUUGCUCAAGUUCAUUUUUAGUCCUUUUUUUAAGGAUUCUCUAUGAAGCUCAUCGAUCAUCACCUUCAGUUCUUUCCAGCUGUCGGCUAUUAGUAAUGCAUAUAUUUUGUAUUUUUAGCUUUCCAGAAGAUCCUGCGAAGAAGGCAUGAAGUAUAGAUCUGAUUUGUUAAUAGAGGAGUAUGUUCAAAACAUUUUUUAGAAAAAGAUAUUGACAGAACUUCACUUUCAUCUGUUCGUUUGAGAGACUGUGCUGUUCCAAUAGCUUAUGUCACACAGAAUCAGCCGAGAGAAGUGGUCUACAAAAAACCAGGAAGGAAAUGGAAUAUGUGGCUAUGAAAAGCAAAAGAAAGGUUUACAAAGCAAAUGUGACACAUUUUUUUAUAAUAUUUAGGAAUGUCAGUAAAUUACAUUAAAAAAAUGUAUGAAAAGAUUUUUUGCAAUAAAAAUGUUUAUAUUUA